ACUGCUGGGUGCUGCUGCGCUUGUCACCAUCAUCACCGUGCCCGUGGUUCUGCUGAACAAAGGCACAGAUGAUGCUACAGCUGACAGUCGCAAAACUUACACUCUAACUGAUUACUUAAAAAAUACUUAUAGACUGAAGUUAUACUCCUUAAGAUGGAUUUCAGAUCAUGAAUAUCUCUACAAACAAGAAAAUAAUAUCUUGGUAUUCAAUGCUGAAUAUGGAAACAGCUCAGUUUUCUUGGAGAACAGUACAUUUGUAUGUUUAAUCACGUAAUUAAUUCAUGCAUAGAAUUCUGGGGAUUUUUUUCAUUACCUUUGGAAUCACGAGUACUGUCAUUUCUCAACCUGUUGGACUCUUUCUGCAGCAUAUGGCAAAGUGGAUCUUUCUCUCCUUCUUGAAAUGCUCCCUGCCUUGGCUACUUUUUAGUCUCCUUUGACGAUUCCUCUUCCUCUGCCCAUAUUUUUAAAUGAUGAGUUUGGACAUUCUAUCAAUGAUUAUUCAAUAUCUCCUGAUGGGCAGUUUAUUCUCUUAGAAUACAACUACGUGAAGGCAGCUGAUUACAGAAGAGAGGAUUCCAAACAACACACAGUGGGUCACAUGGUCACCAGUGGGUCAUAAAUUGGCAUAUGUUUGGAACAAUGACAUUUAUGUUAAAAUUGAACCAAAUUUAC
rnacentral:lncRNA from 1 species